rnacentral:rRNA from 1 species
UACGGAGGGUGCAAGCGUUAAUCGGAAUUACUGGGCGUAAAGCGUGCGCAGGCGGUUUGUUAAGUCCGUUGUGAAAGCCCCGAGCUCAACUUGGGAAUUGCAGUGGAUACUGGCAGGCUGGAGUACGGUAGAGGAAGGUGGAAUUCCCGGUGUAGCAGUGAAAUGCGUAGAUAUCGGGAGGAACACCAGUGGCGAAGGCGGCCUUCUGGACCAGUACUGACGCUGAUGCACGAAAGCUAGGGGAGCAAACAGG